GAAGUUCCCAUGAUGCGUAUGUCAUUAGACAAUCAGGGAUAUGGCACAGAUUAAGAUCAAGUCAACGAGCAGACAUGUGGUUAUUGGGAGACCGUGGAUAUCCUUGCACCCCCUGGCUCAUGACUCCUUACCGUAAUCCCAGGCCAGGACCACAGACGGCAUUUAACUCCGCGCUUACUGCCACUAGGCAGCUGGUGGAGCGCACAAUUGGGGUCCUUAAAGGGCGGUUUCGUGUGCUCCACCGCACUGGUGGCGACAUCAUGUAUUCGCCGGAGAUGGCAAGUAAACUAGUGGUUCUGUGCGCAAUACUACACAAUAUCGCGGUAAGGAGUAGCGUAGAGCUUCCUCAGACAGAGGAAUUGCCUGAUGAGGAGCCAGGGGUUGUUCGACACUUCGGUGGGGGGAGUGUUACACGGAGGGGGAGCCAAGUCAGGGCAAGCAUUGUUGCUGAAUAUUUCAGCUGAAUGAUCACACAAACUGUGGACGAGAACAACGGCAGACCUCUCAGCCCCCUUCCCCUUCCCAGUCCCCCUCCCCUUCUCACUCCCCCUCCCCUUCUCACUCCCCCUCCCCUUCGCAGUCCUCCUCAGCUUCCCAGUCCCCCUCAGCUACCCAGUCCCCCUCAGCUUCCCAGUCCCCCUCAGCUUCCCAGUCCCCCUCAGCUUCCCAGGCCCACUCCACUUUCCACUCCCCUUCUCACACCACCUCUCUAUCU